UACGAAGGGUGCAAGCGUUGUCCGGAAUUAUUGGGCGUAAAGGGUUCGUAGGCGGUCUGUUGCGUCAGGAGUGAAAACUCGGGGCUUAACCCCGAGCCUGCUUCUGAUACGGGCAGACUAGAGGUAUGCAGGGGAGAACGGAAUUCCUGGUGUAGCGGUGAAAUGCGCAGAUAUCAGGAGGAACACCGGUGGCGAAGGCGGUUCUCUGGGCAUUACCUGACGCUGAGGAGCGAAAGUGUGGGGAGCGAACAGG
rnacentral:rRNA from 1 species